UACAGGGGGGGCAAGCGUUGUCCGGAAUUAUUGGGCGUAAAGAGCUCGUAGGCGGUGUGUCGCGUCGGCCGUGAAAACCUGCAGCUUAACUGUGGGCUUGCGGUCGAUACGGGCAUCACUGGAGUUCGGCAGGGGAGACUGGAAUUCCUGGUGUAGCGGUGAAAUGCGCAGAUAUCAGGAGGAACACCGGUGGCGAAGGCGGGUCUCUGGGCCGAUACUGACGCUGAGGAGCGAAAGCGUGGGGAGCGAACAGG
rnacentral:rRNA from 1 species